GCACCAGUGGCGGAACUGGCAUACGCACAAGGUUUAAGCCCUUGCGUCCAUUGAGAUUGAGGGUUCAAAUCCCUCCUGGUGUA
rnacentral:tRNA from 1 species